GAAAAGAUAACCGCUGAAAGCAUCUAAGCGGGAAACUUGCCUCAAGAUGAGAUCUCACUGGGAACUUGAUUCCCCUGAAGGGCCGUCGAAGACUACGACGUUGAUAGGCUGGGUGUGUAAGCGUUGUGAGGCGUUGAGCUAACCAGUACUAAUUGCCCGUGAGGCUUGACCAUAUAACACCCAAACA
rnacentral:rRNA from 1 species